AGGUAGCAUAAUCAUUAGUUUUUUAAUUGAAGGCUAGAAUGAAUGGUUGGACAAGAAAUAAUCUGUCUUAAUUAAAGAUAUUGAAUUUAACUUUUAAGUGAAAAGGCUUAGAUGAUCUGAAGGGACGAUAAGACCCUAUAAAACUUUAUAUUUAAGAGUAGAAAUUAAUUUUAUUUAAAGGUUACUAUUUUAUAAUAUUUGGUUGGGGCGACGGGGAUAGAAGAAAAAGUAACUGUCUUUUUUUUUUACAAUAAUAUUUGGUUUAAUGAUCCUAAAUGGAUUAAAGAUUAAGUUACUUUAGGGAUAACAGCGUAAUUUUCUUUAAGAGUUCUUAUCGACAGGAAAGUUUGCGACCUCGAUGUUGAAUUAAAGGUUCUUUAUAGAGUAGAGACUAUAAUAGAAGGUCUGUUCGACCUUUAAAAUUUUACAUGAUUUGAGUUCAAACCGGUGUGAGCCA
rnacentral:rRNA from 1 species